CCCAGUCCAACUCUCUCAAUAUCUCACAUAUCUCCAUCUAAAAAAAGAAUCCCUCACGUAUCUCUCACAAACUCUCAUAGAAAAAAUCUCCUCAACUCCAUCGGCUCCUCUCGAUGUGGUCCUAAACUUGCGAGCUCCAUUGAUAAUGAACUGAAGAUUGAUUGCCAUCGGCCAAAGGCGCAUGGCGAGGCAGAAGGAAGGAUCCGCUACAUGCCUGCAGAUUUCGUAGAAACUGGGUCUGCUUCCUCUCUCCUUCCAAAGGAAAAAAACUCCACGAUUGAUUCAGGUGUUGAGAUUCUCCAAGUACCAGAACUCUGUCGUGCGAUGGAUGAAUUUCCCCAUCCACGGCUCCGACGUGGACGGAUUAAACCUCCAGCAAGGUCAGCAUAUAUGUGCAAUGGGUCGGACAAAGCUUUUACUCUGGCUACCCCGUGGACAAGGAUCAAGCUUGAUAUGGUCCAUGUUCGUACUUAAUAUUGGAUAUGAAAAUUAUGAUUUUGUGCUUUAGAAAGCCUGCUUUGACUAUUAAAUAAGGAAUUGUCUAUAGAACAGUUUCUCGGAUUGGAAUUAUUUUUCACAAUGUAUGCCUGCAACUAUCAAUGGUUGUAGAAAAUCAAUGAUCACCCAAUAUUCAAGAUUUUUAUUUGCAUUUAAA